rnacentral:misc_RNA from 1 species
GUGAGUCAUCGAAUCUUUGAACGCACAUUGCACCUUCUGGCAUUCCAGAGGGUAUGCCUGUUCGAGCGUCAUUACAACUCUCAAGCACUGCUUGGUAUUGGGUGUCACCAUUCUGGUGCAUUUCAAAAGUAUUGGCAGUAGCAUUCAGCUUCUAGUGUAGUAAAUCUCUUGCUUUGGAGUUGAGUGUCUAAUUGCUAGAAACCCCAUCAAAAGUUGACCUCGGAUCAGGUAGGGAUACCCGCUGAACUUAAGCAUAUCAAUAAGCGGAGGA